rnacentral:rRNA from 1 species
AACGGCCGCGGUAUCUUGACCGUGCAAAGGUAGCGCAAUCACUUGUCUUUUAAAUGAAGACCUGUAUGAAUGGCAUAACGAGGGCUUAACUGUCUCCUUUUUCCUAUCAAUGAAAUUGAUCUCCCCGUGCAGAAGCGGGGAUAAAAACAUAAGACGAGAAGACCCUAUGGAGCUUAAAACGCAAGAACAGAAUAAUACUCCUUCAUAUAAACCAAAAUAUGAAAUCCAAUUAUAAACCUGUUCAAAUGUUUUUGGUUGGGGCGACCACGGAGUAUAACUAAACCUCCACGAGGAAUAAAGACAUUCCUUUUCAUUUAAGGGUGACAACCCUAAAAAACAGAACAUCUGACCACCUUGAUCCGGCAAAGCCGAUCAACGAACCGAGUCACCCUAGGGAUAACAGCGCAAUCCUCUUUUAGAGUCCAUAUCGACAAGAGGGUUUACCACCUCGAUGUUGGAUCAGGACAUCCUAAU